rnacentral:sRNA from 1 species
UGCCGUCUGUGAAGAAUCGUACAUCUUG